rnacentral:rRNA from 1 species
UAGGGAAUCUUCGGCAAUGGACGGAAGUCUGACCGAGCAACGCCGCGUGAGUGAAGAAGGUUUUCGGAUCGUAAAGCUCUGUUGUAAGAGAAGAACGAGUGUGAGAGUGGAAAGUUCACACUGUGACGGUAUCUUACCAGAAAGGGACGGCUAACUACGUGCCAGCAGCCGCGGUAAUACGUAGGUCCCGAGCGUUGUCCGGAUUUAUUGGGCGUAAAGCGAGCGCAGGCGGUUAGAUAAGUCUGAAGUUAAAGGCUGUGGCUUAACCAUAGUACGCUUUGGAAACUGUUUAACUUGAGUGCAGGAGGGGGGAGUGGAAUUCCAUGUGUAGCGGUGAAAUGCGUAGAUAUAUGGAGGAACACCGGUGGCGAAAGCGGCUCUCUGGCUUGUAACUGACGCUGAGGCUCGAAAGCGUGGGGAGCAAACAGGAUUAGAUACCCUGGUAGUCCACGCUGUAAACGAUGAGUGCUAGGUGUUAGACCCUUUCCGGGGUUUAGUGCCGUAGCUAACGCAUUAAGCACUCCGCCUGGGGAGUACGACCGCAAGGUUG